rnacentral:rRNA from 1 species
CGACGAGUUUGAUCCUGGCUCAGAUUGAACGCUGGCGGCAGGCCUAACACAUGCAAGUCGAGCGGAUGAAAGGAGCUUGCUCCUGGAUUCAGCGGCGGACGGGUGAGUAAUGCCUAGGAAUCUGCCUGGUAGUGGGGGACAACGUUUCGAAAGGAACACUAAUACCGCAUACGUCCUACGGGAGAAAGCAGGGGACCUUCGGGCCUUGCGCUAUCAGAUGAGCCUAGGUCGGAUUAGCUAGUUGGUGGGGUAAAGGCUCACCAAGCCAACGAUCUGUAGCUGGUCUGAGAGGACGACCAGCCACACUGGUACUGAGACACGGACCAGACUCCUACGGGAGCAGCAGUUGGGGAAUUUUGGGCAAUGGACGCAAGUCUG